UAUCAAUAUAAAUGCUAUAAGAGUGAGCAAAUCUCACCUGUACUGAACACCCAUUUUGAUGGCAAGAGAUACGUCAACGGCCCCAACAGCCUCCACAAUAG